CUGAAAACAGCCAUCUCAAGACUGUCAUUCACAUGAAUGAAGAUACAGUUUGUGUAUAACAUCUAAGCUAAUGAACUCCCAUCAAGCUUUAUGAGCCACAGCUCUCAAGCCAAGUGAGCUCCAGGCCAGUACACCCACAUCUUCUCCUUCUUAAGUGGAACAGCAGCCAUUGUUUGGACCGAAGGUCUGUCUAGAUUGCAGAUAGAGAAAGGCAUACCCCAACAUUCGGGCAGUACUUCUAUCUGAGAGUCAUUUGCCAUAUUCUACAAAGGAAAGGGCAGCAAGCCAAAAAACAGCAGCCUGGAUUUGGCCUGUAAUUCACAUGGAUUACAGGCAGAAUUGCAGUGAAAAUUCAUGUGAAGAUGUUUAGAAAAGAGUGAAAAAAACAGCAGGACAUUUCUAUGGCUUGGAAGAUCUA
ensembl:lncRNA